GACGAACGCUGGCGGCGUGCUUAACACAUGCAAGUCGAACGGACAGGCCCUGCUUUUGUGGGGUGCUCGAGUGGCGAACGGGUGAGUAACACGUGAGUAACCUGCCCUUGACUUUGGGAUAACUUCAGGAAACUGGGGCUAAUAACGGAUAGGAGAUCCUGCUGCAUGGUGGGGGUUGGAAAGUUUCGGCGGUUGUGGAUGGACUGGCUGGUUAUCAGCUGGUUGGUGUGGGAGGGGCUUACAACGGCUUUGACGGGUAGCCGACCUGGGAGGGGGACCGGGGCCCUUGGGACUGCGAGACGCACCAGUCGCCUACGGUAGGCAAUAGGGGGGAGUAUUGCGCAGCGGGGGGACGCCUGAGGCAGAAACGCCGGGUGCGUGAUGACGGCCUUUGGGUUGUAAACCGCUUUCGCCUGUGACGAAGCGUGAGUGACGGUAAUGGGUAAAGAAGCACCGGCUAACUACGUG
rnacentral:rRNA from 1 species